UACGAAGGGGGCUAGCGUUGUUCGGAAUUACUGGGCGUAAAGGGCGCGUAGGCGGUACUUCAAGUCAGGCGUGAAAGCCCCGGGCUCAACCUGGGAACCGCGCUUGAGACUGGAGAACUAGAGUUCGGGAGAGGAUGGUGGAAUUCCCAGAGUAGAGGUGAAAUUCGUAGAUAUUGGGAAGAACACCGAUGGCGAAGGCAGCCAUCUGGACCGACACUGACGCUGAGGCGCGAAAGCGUGGGGAGCAAACAGG
rnacentral:rRNA from 1 species